CGCGCCAGACUUCAUCAGUGAUAGUUCGAAGAUGACGCGUGUGAACAUCGUAACUAUUUAUGUCCUCGUUGCGCUAAUGAUGUGCGUGGCGAGCGAGCGCCGAGUUCGCAGACAAUCUGCUUUCUGCGCCGGAUAUGGACAGAGGUGCAAUGUUGGGCAGUCUCAGACCUGCUGCACGAAUCUCGUGUGCAACGAUAACUUCUGCGGAACAUUGAGUUCGCGGACGGCUCCGAGCAGUUUGGAUCGAGACAUGGAUCAUCGGAAGUUUCGUCCCAGCCCGAUCAAAAGUGCAGAGGGACGACGCUGACAAAGCCCGUUCGCUCUCUCCCUCUCGAGAAUGUACGUAACCUCCUGGAGGACCAGGAUUGGGAUGCCGCUUGGAGCCCGCACAGGAGCUUUCUCCUAAAUGAAGAGGAUGGCUGGUGAUGCGUCGAAGCGCCGCACAGUGUGGCCAUAUCCGAUUUUAGGCGGCAGAAAUUAUUUCAGUGAGUUUUUCAGAUUAUUCUCGUGGUACGAACUCGUACCAGUCAUCAGAGGAAAUUUCUGGCUCUGAGCUCCUCGGAAAGCCGCGUACAAUAACUUAGCAGGUCCGGCAGGCAGAAGAUCUUUGACUUUGUUCCGUUUUGUCCUCUCUGCCGAGUCCGAGAAAUUUUUCGCUGGUCGUCCCGCUCGUGGUGUCCCUUGAGACGCUUUCGAAGGUUCCGGCUCCACGGGCACG